AUUGCGCAAUGGGGGGAGCUCUUACGCAGCGACGCCGCGUGAGCGAUGAAGGUCUUCGGAUCGUAAAGCUCUGUCCUUGGGGUAGAAGGUCUUCGGACUUGACGUUACCUAAGGAGGAAGCACCGGGUGACUACGUUCCAGCAGCCGCGGUAAUACGGAGGGGGCAAGCGUUGUCCUGAAUUAUUUGGCGUAAAGGGUGCGUAGGCGGCCUUUUAAGUCAGAUGUGGAAGCCCACGGCUUAACCGUGGGACUGCAUUUGAAACUGGAGGGCUUGAGUAUCGGAGAGGGUAGUGGAAUUCCCAGUGUAGCGGUGGAAUGCGUAGAUAUUGGGAGGAACACCAGUGGCGAAGGCGACUACCUGGACGAAAACUGACGCUGAGGCACGAAAGCUAGGGGAGCAAA
rnacentral:rRNA from 1 species